GCUAAGAAUACAACCAUAUAAAAUGGCCACCUUUACUUCAUGUCUAUGAGCUUGUUUGGAUUUUAGCUAUGGAAAUGUUCUUGAAGGGGGAGGAGAGAGAGAAUGUAGGGAACUUAGAAACACACUUGGGCGAAGGAUCCAAUGCCACAUAUAUAGAUUCAGGCAUUGACAUAAACUCACUCUCUCUAUCAA